ACGGGCCCAGCAGCUCCGCGGCACGUGGGAUCCUCCCGGACCGGGGCACGAACCCGCGUCCCCCGCAUCGGCAGGCGGAUUCUCAACCACUGCGCCACCAGGGAAGCCCGGCUUUAUUACUUUAUAAAAAUGUUUUUAAAUUGAAAAAAUUUGUAACACUAGGUGUCUAUUUCCACAGCAAGUUUGUAAUAGAUUCAUUCCUGUAAUUAGCAUUUAUUUAGUCUUAGUUAUAAGGCACAGAGACAUGGAAAAGACACCCUUUAUCCUGAAGGAACCCUCAAACUUAUGGGGAGACCUGUAGUUCAUUGUUAACCAUUUCUAUUAUAUACUUGUGUAUUAUGCAAUUUUAUAAAGCUAGAAUAUAACGCAUAAUUCAUUCGUCAAACACUAGGGAGCCCUCUAUGUUCAUGUAUAGUAUAUAGAUGCACCCACAAUGGAAUCCAUUCAUCAGGAAAGUUUGGGAGGUCUCUCACAGAGAGGAACAUUGAUGACCUCCGUUUUGAGAUGGACCUUCUGUCGCCAGGAAGAGACAGGAGAAGCUGCUCAGUGAGGUGUGGAGAACGCUGACGUGCGUGAGGCCAGUGAUGAGACGGAAUCGUAAAGAAUCACUUGGGGAUCAUCCUUAGCAGAGAACCAGCUGAGAGAUUUCAAACCCAGGAGAAGUCUCUGAAAGGUCCAGAGCUGAAGACAAAAGCAAAAAAAAAAGGGGGAAUUCAGGCUAGAAAGUCCAACAUCUCUCAGAGCAGCAGUGACUACAACCCACUGCCCUCCAACCUCCAUACCUGUGUCAGCUACAGAUCGGCACUUGCCACUGGCACUUGCCAUCUCCCUCUACAAGGGUUAAAGCAUGUGCUCUGCAGCUGUUGACUUUCAGCACCCCCUGAAAGGAGCCCAGGGUGGAGAGCAGGAAUGAGGUGCUCUGUGCUCUGGGGAAAACUGGCGGAACAGGUCUUCAGGUAGUUAGAUAUUUUCAGGAGCCGAUUUUAUGAGCCCAAUUCUUGUAUCUGCUCAUACCUAGAAAAGCACUAAAAUCCUUCAUGGUGACGACUGCUCCUCGUGACUAGCAGAAACCUGCUGCAAAAUAAUAUGUGCUCGGGCUCCCCUGGUGGCGCAGUGGUUGAGAGUCCGCCUGCCGACGCAGGGGACGCGGGUUCGCGCCCCGGUCCGGGAGGAUCCCACGUGCCGCGGAGCGGCUGGGCCCGUGAGCCGUGGCCGCCGCGCCUGCGCGUCCGGAGCCUGUGCUCCGCGACGGGAGAGGCCACAGCGGUGAGAGGCCCGCGUACAGCAAAAAUAAUAGUAAUAAUAAUAAAUACAAAAAAUAAUAUGUGCUCGACUGUGUAUACUCCUCCUUCAUCAAAAUCACACCUAUCCUGACCUUGCCCGCUGCCUCUCUGGAGCAGCUUCUCAGAGCUCUCUGAAGUGCUGUCUCCCGGGCUGCAGCCCUCAUGUUGCCCCCAAUAAAACUGAACUCACAACUCU